GAUGAACGCCGGCGGCGUGCCUAAUACAUGCAAGUCGAGCGAACAGACGAGGAGCUUGCUCCUCUGACGUUAGCGGCGGACGGGUGAGUAACACGUGGAUAACCUACCUAUAAGACUGGGAUAACUUCGGGAAACCGGAGCUAAUACCGGAUAAUAUAUUGAACCGCAUGGUUCAAUAGUGAAAGACGGUUUUGCUGUCACUUAUAGAUGGAUCCGCGCCGCAUUAGCUAGUUGGUAAGGUAACGGCUUACCAAGGCGACGAUGCGUAGCCGACCUGAGAGGGUGAUCGGCCACACUGGAACGGAGACACGGUCCAGACUCCUACGGGAGGCAGCAGUAGGGAAUCUCCCGCAAUGGGCGAAAGCCUGACGGAGCAACGCCGCGUGAGUGAUGAAGGUCUUCGGAUCGUAAAACUCUGUUAUUAGGGAAGAACAAAUGUGUAAGUAACUAUGCACGUCUUGACGGUACCUAAUCAGAAAGCCACGGCUAACUACGUG
rnacentral:rRNA from 1 species